UACGUAGGGUGCGAGCGUUAAUCGGAAUUACUGGGCGUAAAGCGUGCGCAGGCGGAUUGUUAAGCAAGAUGUGAAAUCCCCGGGCUUAACCUGGGAACUGCAUUUGUGACUGCAAGACUAGAGUACGGCAGAGGGGGGUAGAAUUCCACGUGUAGCAGUGAAAUGCGUAGAUAUGGGGAGGAAUACCGAUGGCGAAGGCAGCCACCUGGGUCGAUACUGACGCUCGUGCACGAAAGCGUGGGGAGCGAACAGG
rnacentral:rRNA from 1 species